rnacentral:rRNA from 1 species
GACGAACGCUGGCGGCGUGCUUAACACAUGCAAGUCGAACGGAAAGGCCCUGCUUUUGUGGGGUGCUCGAGUGGCGAACGGGUGAGUAACACGUGAGUAACCUGCCCUUGACUUUGGGAUAACUUCAGGAAACUGGGGCUAAUACCGGAUAGGAGCUCCUGCUGCAUGGUGGGGGUUGGAAAGUUUCGUCGGUUGGGGAUGGACUCGCGGCUUAUCAGCUUGUUGGUGGGGUAGUGGCUUACCAAGGCUUUGACGGGUAGCCGGCCUGAGUGGGUGACCGGCCACAUUGGGACUGAGAUCCGGCCCAGACUCCUACGGGAGGCAGCAGUGGGGAAUAUUGCACAAUGGGCGGAAGCCUGAUGCAGCAACGCCGCGUGCGGGAUGACGGCCUUCGGGUUGUAAACCGCUUUCGCCUGUGACGAAGCGUGAGUGACGGUAAUGGGUAAAGAAGCACCGGCUAACUACGUG